CCAGCUAAUGAUUAAAAGUGCAAAUUGGCAAUUCUAUUGUGUUAAAGAUUCGUUCCAAAAAACUAUAUAUUAGAGAAUUAAAGAUUUGUUUCUUACCAAUUGAUAAUUAAAAUCUGAAUCAACUAUUCUGUUGUAUGAAAGAUUCAUUUCAAAAUUAUAUUGGCUUUCAAGACUGGUCUUCAAAAUGGUGGUGUGCACUGGUUUGGAUACUGCGUGUGGAGAAAUACUAUGGGUUUAUCAUUCAUUUUCUCAAGGUUGUACCAAAUAGAAGUGCAAUGUUUUUGGAAAGUUUUCUCUACUCAUUGUCGUCUUUUGAUUGGCGCUAUUUUCGUUCA
rnacentral:lncRNA from 1 species